rnacentral:rRNA from 1 species
GAUGAACGCUGGCGGCGUGCCUAAUACAUGCAAGUCGAGCGAACAGACGAGGAGCUUGCUCCUCUGACGUUAGCGGCGGACGUGUGAGUAACACGUGGAUAACCUACCUAUAAGACUGGGAUAACUUCGGGAAACCGGAGCUAAUACCGGAUAAUAUCUUGAACCGCAUGGUUCAAUAGUGAAAGACGGUUUUGCUGUCACUUAUAGAUGGAUCCGCGCCGCAUUAUCUAGUUGGUAAGGUAACGGCUUACCAAGGCAACGAUGCGUAGCCGACCUGAGAGGGGGAUCGGCCGCCCGGGAAGUGAGACAGGGUCCAGGCUACUACGGGAGGGCGCAGUAGGGAAUCUUACGCAAUGGGCGAAAGCAUGACGGAGCAAGGCCGCGUGAGUGAUGAAGGUCUUCGGAUCGUAAAAAUCUGUUAUUAGGGAAGAACAAAUGUGUAAGUAACUAUGCACGUCUUGACGGUACCUAAUCAGAAAGCCACGGCUAACUACGUG